rnacentral:rRNA from 1 species
CCUACGGGUGGCUGCAGUGGGGAAUAUUGGACAAUGGGGGGAAACCCUGAUCCAGCAAUGCCGCGUGUGUGAAGAAGGCCUGCGGGUUGUAAAGCACUUUCGGUUGGGAAGAAAAGUUUGGCGCCAAUACCGCCGAACCUUGACGUUACUGACAGAAGAAGCACCGGCUAACUCUGGGCCAGCAGCCGCGGUAAUACAGAGGGUGCAAGCGGGAGUCGGACGCACGUGGCGGAACAUGCAAGUCGGGUGUGAAAUCCCCGGGCUUAACCUGGGAACUGCAUUCGAUACUACAUGGCUAGAGUAUGGUAGAGGGAAGUGGAAUUUCCGGUGUAGCGGUGAAAUGCGUAGAUAUCGGAAGGAACACCAAUGGCGAAGGCAGCUUCCUGGACUAAUACUGACACUGAGGCACGAAAGCGUGGGUAGCAAACAGGAUUAGAUACCCCGGUAGUC